rnacentral:tRNA from 1 species
ACAUUAGUGUCUGAUUUAAGUAAAGAUUUGUAAAUUCUUUUAAAUAGCAUAUGAGUGUUAUCUAAUGUA